CGUCAUAAAAUAAAUUCGAAAAAAUUGGUUUCAAAAUGCUAAUCAAACAACAAUAGUUUUAAUUAUAAGACCACGCCUAGUACUUUGGUUUGUUACAUUUUAUUAUUAGCCAGUUUAGUGUUGAGUUGAUUCCGGAACUUUUUUUAUGUAAGUAUUGAAAGCUUUAGAAUUUUGAAACUUUUUAAAAUUUUAAGCAAUCAAUAUUUAAUUAAAAUCGCUAAUAUGUUGUGAUAAAGUACACGUCUUAUUGUAGUCUUAGGCGGUCUGAUAAUAAGGACAUAAGAAAAAUCUGAAAAUAGAACAUAAGGAGGGCUAGUACAGAGAUCUCUGUAACCAUGAGAUAUAGAAAGAUAUAUAUAGAAUCUAGCGGCUCUGGGUGCUCAAUAACAUGCCGCUUUAAAAUCUACAAAAAUCUGAGUAGUUCGGGAGAUAUCGGAAAAAAAAACGAUUUUUCCAAAAAAAAAAUUAAUAUUUUCUGCUGAGUUUAUUAGAAAAUAUUUUUGAAAUUAAAUGACACUUUCUAAUAGCCACUUUGUGUAUUUUUAAGACGCCGUUAUUAAAUUUUAGAUCCGACGUUUCGUCUUCGGGCCACCAUAAUCAACUUUUUUUUCAAAUACGGACCUUCGAUAUCAAAUAUUAAAAGUGUUUUUAAUGCUAAAUUUAACGGUAUAUCACAAGUUGUAGUUCAAUCAUGUUUUUGACCUUUUUUAACCAUUAUUAAAUAUUUUCGAUGCCUUAGAAGGAAGUAGACUUUGGAAACGAAAUGGUAGUCAUAGAUAUGCUUGAGGUUUGACAUUAACUUAUGAAUUAUUCCAGUGUACGCUUUAAAUUUUUUUAAUUUAUUUUGUAAAAAUAUUUUCGAAUAAAGAAAAAUUUGAUAGCUAGUUGGUCACAUUUUAAGUUAUCGAAAUUGUUAUAACGCAGAGCAGAUAUAAUUGUAUAAAUAUACCGAAAGACGGCGGCCAAGCAGAAGAACCUUCAGUAAGUUAGAACGUAAUCUGAAAGAUCUAAUAAAUAAAUAAUAUGUUUAAAAAACCUGUGCAUUCCCGAUAAAAACCAAGUAACGAAGACAAAAUGACGAACGUAUUAUUAGCUGUUCACGAAAACUCUGAGAUUUCAACACGGGAAAUUGAAAAUAAUGUAGGCGUGAACAAAUUCAAGGCGCAAUUCAUUAAAAAAAAAUACACGUUUCAUCCGUAUAAAUACAGACGUUGUCAAGGAUUUAGAUCCGGUGAUGCACAGAUGCUUGGGGUACACGAGAAAAUGUCAAGAUAAUCAUAAUUUUACUAACCAGAUCAUCUGGUAUGAAGAGAACAUGGUAACGAAAAAUGGUAUUUUCAAUAAAAGUCACCAUUACUGAGCCACAGAAAAUCCUUGUUUUGAUGAAAGAAGUACAACACCAGAUGUGUUCUGAAUUCAAUAUAUGAGCUGGUAUUGUGGGAAGAAUCUUAGGCCCUUUCAUUUACCACCAUAAUUUGAAUUCUGAGCGUUACCGUAAAUUGCUGCAAAACGAUUUAGAGGAAGCUUAGAGAAUUUGCCUCUUGCAGAAAUUCGAAACCAUUGGUUUCAACAAGAUGGUGCAACGGCUCAUAAUGCCAAAGUAGUUAGGGAAUAUCUAAAGGGUGGUCCAACCAAAACGCACAAUGUUAAUUUAAUGUUACUUGUAAAUAAAACAAAAAGUUUUCAGAGUAUUAUCUUAAUAUUUUUUAUUAUGAUAUAUGACAAUUAUGUGUGAAGGAAAAUAUCGGUCAAAUGCCCGCCACGGCUGCGGUGGCAACCUCUAUCCGAUUGUCCGCAUUUCCAAUGACUCAACAUAACUGAGGUUAAAUGUCGUUAAUAUGCCGCAUAAUUUUAUCCUUUAGCUCUUGAAUUGUUCUUGGCUUAUUGACGUACACUUUUUCUUUUAAGUAUCCUCAAAGAAAGAAGUCUAUCGGUGUCAGAUCACAUGAUCGUGGCAGCCAAUUACCAUCGCCACGACGUGAGAUAACACAGCCAUUGAAUUUCUCGCGCAAAAGAGCCAUUGCUCAAUUUCUGGCCACACGAAGUCCGUUAUCAUCUCGCGAUAGAUCAUUCAUCACUUGGCCGACCUCAUUUUCGAAGAAGUACAGACUGACGCCGCCAGCCCACAAACCGCACCAUACAGUACUUACAGUCACUCUUUGUGAAUGCAUCGGUUUUUCCAUACUCACUCGUGGAUUCUCAUUUGCCGAAAUGCGGCAAUUCUGCUUGUUAACGAAUCCACUGAGGUGAAAGUGUGCCUCGUUGCUAAAGAUGAUUUUCUUUGUAAAGUCGCCAUUUACUUCUGUCUGUUCAACCAACCAAUCGGCGUAUUGACGACGCUUGAAAUGGUCAGUAGGCUUCAGCUCUUGAGUCAAUUGAACCUUGUAAGCGUAUAAAUUCAAAUCUAUAUUCAAAAUUCGGAUCAAUGAUGUUCGUGAGAUGUUCAAUUGUUGGGCACGACCACGAGUUGAGGUUGACGGCUCUUCUGCUACACUAUCGUGAACAACAGCAAUGUUUUCUGCAGAAUGAACUAGGCGAGCAUGCACAGGUGUUUUCACAUUUGGUCGAUUAUGCUGAUCAGAAAAAUCACUGAAGUGCACGAAAUGCAUUUUGAUUUGAACGUCUAUUUUCGUAAAAGACUUCAACAAUCUUGGAGCAACACAAAAAGCGCUGCUCAAUUGUGUACCUCUCCAUAGGUGAAUUCGUCAAAAACUGAAACAAAGAAAUGUCAAACGUUGGUCAAAAAAAUUGACUUUAAGGUGUGAGUCACAAUUAACAUCGUGCAUUAUGGUUGGACCACCCUUUAUCAGCUAGAUUUCCAAGAAGACAUACCAACACAUAUUCCAAAACGCCGUGGCCAGCCUGUUCCCUCGACAUUACUCCCUUAGAUUUCUUUCUUUGGGGUAUGUUCGAAAUUACGUUUAGAAAAAUAAUUUUGAAACCGAAGAAUUUUGAAAAUUGGUGUUUGGAGGCUUUUGAGAGUUAUAACACCAAUGAUCAGUAGCGGCUCGUCCUAAGGGGCCAAGGAGCCAUGGCACUGGUCGUGAAAUGUAUUAAUCAUAUUUUAAAAUUGUCAUUAUUUUUAAAAUUUGUUUUAAUUUCAAGAAUAACUACAAUAUCCAAAGAAAUAACUGAAAAAUCAAUGCAUUACGGGAUAUGUCAUUUCAAUAAUUUUAAUCGCAACAAAGAAACAAUAAAGCCGGCCGAGCACAUUGCGAAAUUGCUCCGCUGUUAAUAUGCCGAUGCAUUGGAAAGGGUUAGAUAUUGAUUCAGAGAAGUUUGGGCCACGCACAUCACAGCCUACGUCAAAAAUUUUUCGUUGUCGCUAGUUAUGUACACAAUUAUGCCACCCUAUAUAUAAUAUUUUGCUUAUGUAUAUGCUUACUCAGUUAGAUUAAAUUUCAUGCUUUAUUUGCAUUAUUUAGUUUAUAUAAUCACUUGUUAUAUUAAGUUAAUCCUUCUUCUUAGAGUACACUGUAUCGCGGCUUGUCAAAAUAAAAGUUUUUUAAAACGUUAUUAACGUGAUAGACUCGUUUCUAAAUGAGUUUUUGUCCGAUUUUACAGUGACGUAGAGUUUCUAGUAGAUUUAAAAAACCUAUAUAAAAGGUGUGCUGCAAUUUUUUCGUGUUUGAGAUAUUUAAAUACAGGGUUUAUUUGUUAGUGAUAAAGUAAAAACUAAUAAAUAGACAAAUUGUGUUGAAUAUCAGUAACUCAAUCUAUUAGAAAAUAGAUACAAUGAUGCUAAGAUGUAUUUGCAAAUAUUUAUAAUUAAGUAAAGAACAAGUUUAAAUAAAGUAUAUAGAUUUAUUAUAAAUAAUAGUUUAAUAUUAAUUGUUGUUCCGAAUUUUUAACUAAUUAUUAAGGUGACUGUUAAAAAAAACUCCUCUCUGAAACACAAGUAACAAAUGAAACCAUCGAAAUAAUAAUUUUACAAUUUAUAUUCCUACAUUUUACACUAUUCCCCAUUAUACCUGUUACCCGAUUAUCAAAAAACGAUACCUAAAAGUCUGCCUUUAUCAAUACUGGAAAAUCCGACACUAAAGGAAAUUAUUAGAAUAUUAAAUUGAAUAUAGGUAUAUAUAGUAAAGUCCAGUGCAACGAUAUAUUAAAAUGGUCACCCGUCAAAACACCAGCAUUCCACCUGCCAAACAAUGUCAUCCACCUUCUAUUUACAUUGUUUGAGAAGUAAAAUGCUGGUGUUUUGACGGGUGACCAUUCUAAUAUAUCGUUGCACUGGACUUUACCUAUAUAAAAUUAUUAGAAGAAAUAGUCUACUUAUCCCGCUGCCAAUCUUCCAAAGAAAAAGGGCUGGUCCCGCUACCUGGCAACCCUGGUUGUUACUUAUAACAUCAGCCUUACGGAUGUGUACUCGGCGAAGGUAGAAAAAUUGUGUCGCAAAGGUAAAGCCCAUGUCAUCGGUGUUGUCAUCCAGCUUAUUGAGCGUUAUAGUUUGCAUGAUAAUUUGAAUGUAAUUUAACUAUGCACGACUUUGACUGAAAUUAAAGUGAGUAGGCAAUAUUUCAGUUCAGUUUCGUGCUAUUUCAGUUCAGUGUGACGGUCCUGGCCCAAACUUCUAUAAAUCGAUCUCUACUCGAGGUCACGCCGCCGAUGCAUUUUUAAUACGAUUAAAUACGUUGGAACUGAGCACAAACGCGGGUGGCUCGGGUUUGUCAAUUCGCAGUAAUGUCGGUUGCUUAAUAUCCAAAUUUAAACAGUACUUUUUGGUAUUGAUUACAACGAUUGAGGCUGAAGGAAAAUUAAUAAAUUAAACAAUUUACUGGCGAAAUUUUUUUCUACGCACCCCCAUUGGAGGAGAAAAUUAAAAUCAGAUUUUGUGGCAUCGAGAAUUCGCCUUGCGAAAUCAUUAUUAGGCGGAAGAAUUCACAAAUAAAGGAGUUUUUCGGGAAUUAAUAAUUUUAGUUCUCAAUUAGAUAAAGAUUCACAAGAUCAUUUUUGACAAAGCAAAUGUUUAAAGGAACUUAUAUUACUAAUAUUCAAAAUGAUUUAUUAAAUUGUAUGCUUGGUGUUUACCACAAUGGCUAAAGAAACUUAAAAAAAAAACAAAUUAUCUAGCUGUUUUAUUAAGUGCUGAUAAAACUACAGAUGUAGCAAAUAGAAACGUAUCAUCCAUUUUUCUCUAAGAGACCAAACGAAAACAAAACAAAGGUAAGUCACAUUCUCAUCAAAUCCAUAUAAUUUUUUUUAAAGCUACACGUGUUUCGCUCCUAUCGGAGCAUCAUCAGGCCUAAAAAAAUACAUUAAGAUAUUUUUCACAAAAAGAACGCUUAUAAAACUCUAUAACUCUCUAAAUAAAAGUAAAGCUAAGACGAGCCCUGUCCUUGUGUGUGUGAACGAUAUUUUCACGUUUGAACCUCACCUUAUUUAUAACAACCUCUCUUAAAAAGUAUUUUCCUUUUCGAUUUUAGAUAUUUUUAGUUUUUAUUGUUAAGAUUGUUUACUUAUAUUCACACUUAUUAGUAUAGUUCGGAUUGUUCCCCAUGGUGUUUUAACACUGUACUUCCGGGCUAGCUUGUACUGCUCUUGCCGGUCUUUUGAAUAGAUCCUUUGUCGAGAUUAGGCGCCUUCUUUUUAUAAUUCUGGGUCGCAUCUAGGUGCUUGGACUUUUGACUCUCUCGGAGAAUAGGAACCGACUGGUCGGGUUAAGGUUUGGUUGCUUGUAUUUAUGAGGUCUGGGUGUGAUGUUAUUGGACGCGAGCCUGCGGAGCAGACCACGCCCCCUCAGACUACGGAAGUUUUCGCUGGUGAGAAAAGGUCGGGCGGAGGUGUGAACGUAACCGGUCCUUUACGGUGCUUUUUGGUAGUAUUUUGACGGUUGGAUUGCGUUUUGUGUGAGGUUUAUUUUUAUGUGGUUUAAAAGGAUGGGAAUUGGGAUUUGAACACGUUAGGAAGAAAACGAACGGACACUGCGAGAACCUAGGCCUCCACUCCCAGCAAUAGUUUGAUCGCCGGGUUGGUGUUUAAUUUCUCAGGUUUUGCCAUUAGAUUGUCGAUUUUCUUUUCUAGGAUCCCGUCAGGCAAACUUAAGAGGUUUAGGAGAUUUGUGUUUUUGGUUGAUAGCUCGGAGCGUUUCAUGUGUGAUGAUGUAUUGCCUUCCUUUGGCUCCGCCCUCCUGUUAUUAGAGUCCGCGUCGGUCCUUCUCAAGGUCUCAGCGAAGCUUUUUUUUUGAAAGUCCUUAAGCGCUCGACGCGGACCCUGAUAUUUAAAAUGUUAUCAAUCUCAAACACAUUCUCUUGCUCUUUGGGUACGAGGAAUCUGAUGAGGUCUGUGGGUCUACGUCGGCCUGGGCCGGUUUUAAACCAACCCAGUUCCUCCGGCUCAAACCCCAUCGCUCUCAGCUCCUCCUCGACCUCUUCUAGCUUGAAGUUUUCAUCAAGUCCUCUCAGUAUCACGUUCAGCUUUCUGUCCUCUUCAAGGAAGAAAUUAUGGAAUUCCAUUCCUUCUUCCUUGAGAAGUCCUGUCAGUUCACGGUGGUCAUUGGGAGUUUUGGGGAAGAGCGCUAAUCCCAGUCUAUCUUUCUGCACUUUUACAAUGUUGAUUUUUCUUUUACAAAAUGUUUGGUAUUUUAAGGCCCAGUUUUUUUGUGUCCCUUAGCACUACUUUAGGCACUUUGUUAAUAUUUGAAAUGGGAUCAGUGCUCCUCCUCUGUUUGUUCCCCAUGUUUGAUCAUGCUACUUGGUGGCCUAUGGGUUAGACGCGCGCCUGUGGUUCGCGAAUCUAUAUGUUGCUGGAUCGUUCCCCACUGGUGACAUUUUACAUUUUUACUUUUUUAUUUAUUUAUUUUUUUAAGCAUACAUUUUUAUCUAUGGUGGGAAUUGUUAACCUAAUUUUUCUUUUGUUGUUAGUUGUAAUGUGAUCUGUGUAGGUCUAGGUAAUAGUUUUAUAAGCGUUCUUUUUGUGAAAAAUAUCUUAACGUAUAUUUUAGGCCUGAUGAUGCUCCGAUAGGAGCGAAACACGUGUAGCUUUAAAAAAAAUUAUAUGGAUUUGAUGAGAAUGUGACUUUGUGUUCUUACCUUUCUUUACCUUUUUACAGAUGUAGCAAGUAAUUGUCCAUUAGUAAUAAUUUUGACGAUAUAUUGACUCCAAUAAGCAAGCCAGUGGAAAAAUUCUGGAAAUUUUUAAACCUUCCUGGACACAAUGCCAUUUUAAUAGCAAAUUAUAUUUUAAACUGAAAAACAAUUUACAACAAUAGAUAUUGGUCCUUUUAUCAGUGACGCGCCAAAUAAGUUAAAAGUGCAAAGGUAUGAUGCUCCGUCAGCAAUGAGCGCUAGUGUAAAUGGAGUACAAAAAAAUGAUUGCUGAUAAAUAUUUGUUUGCAAACUUUGUACAUUGCUAUGCACAUCAAAUAAAUCUUAUAGUGAGCUUCA